AACGAACGCUGGCGGCGUGGAUUAGGCAUGCAAGUCGAACGAGAUCCAGGAAUGUAGCAAUACAAGCCUGGUGACAGUGGCGGAAGGGUGAGUAACGCGUGGGCAAUCUGCCCUCAAGUUGGGGAUAGCUCUGCGAAAGCGGAAUUAAUACCGAAAUGUGGUCGUCCCGGGCAUCCGGGAUUAUCUAAAGCCGGGGACCCGCAAGGGCCUGGCGCUUGAGGAUGAGCCCCGCGUCCUAUCAGCUUGUUGGUGAGGUAAC
rnacentral:rRNA from 1 species